rnacentral:rRNA from 1 species
AUCACAUAUCAAGAGAGCCUUCGGCGCACAGGGAAGGUGCGUCCGUCGACUCGUUUUGACCGCGUCGGCAUCAUGGACAGUACGUUGAGCGCUAAUGCCACGCGCCAGCGACCUCACAAAGAAGGAGACGGUGGCGAGCCGUUGUGCCAAAUCUUCGAAGAGACGGAAACGAGGCAUUAUAUUCUACUGCAGCGCGACGUGUGCGCGCCUCUAGCAAGACCGCCGCAGGAUGGUGUCGGAUACCUGCAGGGAAAGAGCGGUCCAAGCGCGAGGUGCCAACGUCCGUUGCCAUGUAGCGCGCACGUUUGCGAGAGAGUCGGAAGCGAUCGCAAUCUGCGUUGUUUGCCUUCGGAGUACGUCGAGCUCCAGAGCUGGUCGCUCGUUCGUGUCACCGCAGCUGUGUGGGCACCCCUUCCGGGCUUCGUCGCAGGAAUCUGAAGAUUCUUUGCGAGGAGCGGGGAGGAGAAGGGCGUGCCCCGAAAGCGGUUCGACGCGAUAGCGCCGUCUGCGAGCGAGAAGAGCACGGCACGGCGCAGAAAUUGCCGCGAAACGGAAAAUGUCUCCUUCGAGAGCGUUGGCCGAGCUGACGCGUUCCGUCGUAGUCCGCCGUCGGUCCAAGUGCUUCGCAGUCUCUGUCCCCUAAAGACUGGGCCACUCCAGUUGGGGCAGGGGCGACGCUACACGAGACGAUGCCCCCCGCCAGGUUUUAGUCGUCCCUGCGGCGCCUGCUAAAGCGGCGCGCUGCUAAGGCGAUCUUUGCCUCGGUGGUGUUUGGGCUUCAGACACGGUCGCUUACCACGCAACUGCUCGUGCGCCGCACGCGUGCAGGCGGUUCACCGCCUGCCAGCCUCGUCUAUAAGUAGCUCCGUGUUGGGCGAAGGACGUGGUAGGGCGUCGUACUCGGUUGGCGCUGGGUUUUCGAACGUGUCGAGUCCUUUUCGACAUACCGCUCGUAUGACGCACGCGCGCAGGCGUUGUGCCGCCUGCCAGCCUCGUCCGCAAGGACGUGGCAGGGCGUCGUACUCGGUCGUGCCGGAAUGGGCGAAAGCGAUGUAUCCGUUG